rnacentral:rRNA from 1 species
AACGAACGCUGGCGGCGUGGAUAAGACAUGCAAGUCGAACGGGACUUGCUCUGUAGCAAUACAGAGCAAGUCUAGUGGCGUAAGGGUGCGUAACACGUGGGGAAUCUGCCGAGAAGUGGGGGAUAGCUCGCCGAAAGGCGAAUUAAUACCGCAUGUGGCUACCGAAGACAUCUUCGGGGCGCCAAAGCCGGGGCAACCUGGCGCUUCUUGAUGACCCCGCGGCCUAUCAGCUUGUUGGCGAGGUAAAAGCUCACCAAGGCUAUGACGGGUAGCUGGUCUGAGAGGACGACCAGUCACACUGGAACUGAGACACGGUCCAGACACCUACGGGUGCAGCAGUCGAGUAAUUUUUCUCAAGUGGGGAAACCCUGAAGGAGCGACGCCGCGUGGAGGAUGAAGGUCUUCGGAUUGUAAACUCC